rnacentral:rRNA from 1 species
CCUACGGGAGGCAGCAGUGGGGGAUAUUGCACAAUGGGGGGAACCCUGAUGCAGCGACGCCGCGUGGGUGAAGAAGCGCCUCGGCGCGUAAAGCCCUGUCAGCAGGGAAGAAAAUGACGGUACCUGAAGAAGAAGCCCCGGCUAACUACGUGCCAGCAGCCGCGGUAAUACGUAGGGGGCAAGCGUUAACCGGAUUUACUGGGGGUAAAGGGGGCGCAGACGGCGAUGCAAGCCAGGAGUGAAAGCCCGGGGCCCAACCCCGGGACUGCUCUUGGAACUGCGUGGCUGGAGUGCAGGAGGGGCAGGCGGAAUUCCUGGUGUAGCGGUGAAAUGCGUAGAUAUCAGGAGGAACACCGGUGGCGAAGGCGGCCUGCUGGACUGCAACUGACGUUGAGGCCCGAAAGCGUGGGGAGCGAACAGGAUUAGAUACCCUAGUAGUC